CAUAAGUCUAUUCAGAUGAUCCAUCUAGAUGGAAAAAUGAACAAUGCCAAUAUUACCUAGAUGUAUCAUUUGCGUGAAGCAUGUAAAUGGAUCAUUUGGAUGGAGAUGACAUAUGACGAAACGAACGAUUCCUUAUACUUAAAAUUUCAUUUUUUAGAUUUCUCAAAAGUUAAGAUAUUGGAUGAUUAUAACAUGCAAGUUGAAUCCUUUAAGACAAAUCUGUUCAUGUAACUCAGGAAAGAUAGAGUUUUGAUUAGAUUUAUGUUGUUCUUGGCGAAAAGAUAGACUUUGAAGUUAAGUCUCAUUCUCUUUAGGUUAUUUUGUACAGAUCAGGACUAGUAACUGCUGCUGCUUCCUUUGUAGCUGCUUCUUCUGCAGCCUUUUUACCAGAGAAUUCAUGGUUAAGUGAAAUAAUCAGGUUUCAUAUCUGUAGACAAUACUAAUUUUCUUCAUUUGCAUUUUUUUUUGUCUGCAGGGCUCUGUUAUGAUAAGCUAGAAGCUGGCCUUCUUACGUUCAUCAUACCCUCAAUACUUUUCAGGCAUAGGAUUUUUAUUUUACGCACAAAUAAAAUCCUCGGAAAGAGGUGAGAGAAAAACCCUCUCGAGUCUCUUUUCCUAGCCGCCGCUCUCCGUUUUGCCUCCUCUGGUGGCCGUCGGUGGUCUAGAACCGUCGGUCGCCACCCCAAACCGUUCCUCUGUCCAACCUCAUCCCUGUUGAGCCCCGAUUCACUCACAUCCUCCUUGCUUAUCAGCUCUAGUUCUUCGUUAGGAUAGCGGCCAGAUCCGGCGAAUCAAAACGGUCAAUGGGUGCGUACCCAGCCUCUUCGGAGUGAUGGCGAGGAGAUGAAUGUUCGUAGCUCAGCAGGAGGACGGUAGAUCUAGAGUUUCAUUUUCGGAUAGGUCUGGGUCAGACCUUCUUUGGAGGCUUCGUCGGUGCUACAGGGUGUCGCUGCCUCUGUUUUCCGGUUAGCUUCGCCUCCUAUGUCUCCCUUUCUCUCCAUCUAUCGGUUGCUUGCUAGAACUUCCCCGUUCUGACCCUCGGGUCUGAGACGAAAGGCGAUGUUGAGGGCUUUGCUGGGGACUUCUCCUCUGUUCAGACUUCGCAACAGCUACCAUGGUGAUUUGAGGGGCUUGGAUUUGUCUUGUGGACGAGAUAGCUCAGGGUCUGCCGUUCUCUGUUUUGUCUCUGCCUGCGACGAGUCUUAUCCUCUCCGCCUGCUGAUGGGAGUUCGUUCUCCUCCGUUUCCUUAGUUUCAGAAGAAAGAUGCCCGCCGUGCCGUGCCCUUCUCGACUCCCAGCAGCUAGAUCCUCUUGUGCUCUGCUCGUUUCGACGGGACCGGAGUUCAGCCGUAUAUUCCUCUGCUUCCGUCUGCUAGUAUCUCACCUGUGCUUAAGCUACUGGCCUCUUUGAGUCGGUUUGGAUUCUCAUGGUCCGUUUCGCCACCUUUCGGGAGUGUGCUUCGUCUGGAGUGGACUGCAGUGGAUGUGAUUGCCGGACCAGGACCUAGUCAACCCUGCUUCGCCUAUCCUCCUGUCGCAGUCGCCUUUGGGACAGUUCGCGGUGCCUCGGACUGUUCUCCGGUUGCUAACCCCUAUGACCUCUUCUCUUGCUGCAGGUUCCGGUAUCAAGACCAAGAAGUGAUCUACUGAAACCAAAUGAUUGGUCUUAUGAAUGAUGAGGCGAAACUGGUGUCUCUAGGAACAUGGAUGGCACUCUUUGUAGUAUUUACUGGAAGAAAAUUCACUCAGCCUAUAAAGGAUGACAUUGGGGAUAAAUCUGUUUCCAUGUUCAUGGCUCUUCCGGAAGAUGAGAAAUCAAAAAAAAAAAAGAUGUACAAACUGUUUAUGGCAGCGUCUCUCCUCAUUGUGUAUAUAUAUAUAUAACCUACGGGUACAUCAUUGAUACUUGCAUGUUCUUGACGUACUUAAAACAUUCUGUAAUCGUUCAGAGUCUUAACCAGAAUUUUCUUGCUCGAGUUUUGCAACUACAGCCUUCUUCUCAUCUUCCGGAAGAGCCAUGAACAUGAAAAC